UGUUUUUUUUUUUUUUUCAUUUUCGUCCCUACCUGUUGAUAGUCUUUCAGCAAACAACCGAAGCAUUAAUCAGUUCUCGGCUUCCCGCGAUUCCGAGUCGAAACUUUCAUUGAUGCGGGACUUCGGUGCUCAGCUGAUUCUUCGAAAUUUACGUUAAAAUUUUUGAAGUUUUGGAGCAGAUGUCGGAUUUGAUCUUGCGUUUCUUCCUUGAAAGCACUAGAUCAAGAUCAGGAAUGCAAACAUCACGCAGUUCCAACCCAGAUCCCACAUACAAUUCACAUCUGGUUCCUUGUUGUAGACAUCGGCCUCAAGCAUCUUCGUGAUGGAUACCUUCAGGAAUGGAUGAACGCUUAGUUCCUGCCUUCUGCCUUUCCUCUUCAUUACUUCGUAGCCGCAGUCUAAAACGAGCUUGCUCUCUUGAUCGUGAUAGUCGAGGCCGUUUGCAUGAAGAAUGCUGAUGGGAAUGUUGAGUUUGAAAAGUGCCUCUGCUGUGUUCAUGAAUAAUUGACUUUUCAUAAGUAUCUGCUUCAGCUAAAGCUUGUGAUUCAUUUAGGCUUUGGCUAUCAUCUUCAACAGGACUGCACAAAACUGAAUUUUGCUGAGCUGCUUUCUGUAGCUCUUGUGCCACACUUGAUGGUUGUAGGCUUGCUACUGACUUUUUGGAUC